AUGGGCCUGGGGAAGCUGUUUGUCACAGAUAGGGAACUGGCUUAUGGACAGGAAGCACGGAGAGAGCUAAACAACUGCUUUCACGGGUAGGAAGCAUAGAGGAUGGGGUAUCCACGCUGGACUUCUGUAAAGAGAAACAUCCUCUCGUAAACGAUUUGGAUCCUCUAAGGGAGGAAUAACUGGGCCCUGGAUGUGAUGUGAUGAGUGAAUAUUCCUGAUGAGAAGUGGAAAUAAUUCAUGGUUGAGAGCUGUGCCUCAGAUCAGAGUGACAGGAUACAUGGCCAGGCUAUAUUUUCCAGCAGAUUACGUUAAAAGCUGUGGCCUAAGACUCUAAAGUAUGAAGACAAAAGGAGAAGAUGACACAAUAUCUUUCUAAAGAAAUAUUUUCCAGCCAAACGGUGCAGCAGAUGACUUCUAGGAAUUUGUUCUUGUUCUCUAUUGAAGGUCCACUUUCAACCACUGGAGUGCCUGGCACAGAACUGGGUGGGACUGGUAGAGAGGGGCAGGAGCCUCUCUCUCCUUGCUCUGCUCUGCAGCCUAGGCCAGCUGUUGUCAGAGGCCGGGAGGAGCUCAGAAGUCAAGUUUUGGCUCUGCCAUCUCCUGACUCUGUGACCUGGGCAAGUCUCUAGGCCUCUCUGAGUCUCCUGUUCUCCUCUAUGAGGUGAGGAAAUGAGGACAUAGAGGCUCAGAGGGUCAGAUGACUUACUGAAGAUGUCAAAUUAACGAGAGUGUGGUGAUCUGCAUUCAGUCUGUCUGGCUAUUUUUUUUCUCAGAGAGAGAGAACUUCCAGCUGCAGUGGAUCAGUUUAAUUCAUGUUAUUUGUUGAGUGCCCUCUGUGUGCUGAGUGCUGUGCUGUCUCCUAUAAAACGUCUCCAACAUUCCUCUUCCUCUU